CCUACGGGAGGCAGCAGUAGGGAAUAUUGCUCAAUGGGGGAAACCCUGAAGCAGCAACGCCGCGUGGGGGAUGAAGGUUUUCGGAUUGUAAACUCCUUUUGUUAGAGAAGAUAAUGACGGUAUCUAACGAAUAAGCACCGGCUAACGCCGUGCCAGCAUCCGCGGUCAUACGGAGGGUGCAAGCGUUACUCGGAAUCACUGGGCGUAAAGAGCGCGUAGGCGGGAUAGCAAGUCAGAUGUGAAAUCCUAUGGCUUAACCAUAGAACUGCAUUUGAAACUGUUGUUCUAGAGUAUGGGAGAGGUAGGUGGAAUUCUUGGUGUAGGGGUAAAAUCCGUAGAGAUCAAGAGGAAUACUCAUUGCGAAGGCGACCUGCUAGAACAUAACUGACGCUGAUGCGCGAAAGCGUGGGGAGCAAACAGGAUUAGAUACCCCAGUAGUC
rnacentral:rRNA from 1 species